UAAGGAAUAUUGGUCAAUGGAGGCAACUCUGAACCAGCCAUGCCGCGUGAAGGAUUAAGGCCCUCUGGGUUGUAAACUUCUUUUAUAUGGGAAGAAAUGUACUUUUUCUAAAGUGCUUGACGGUACCAUAGGAAUAAGCACCGGCUAACUCCGUGCCAGCAGCCGCGGUAAUACGGAGGGUGCAAGCGUUAUCCGGAUUUACUGGGUUUAAAGGGUGCGUAGGCGGAUGAAUAAGUCAGUGGUGAAAUCUCCGAGCUUAACUCGGAAACUGCCGUUGAUACUAUUUGUCUUGAAUAUUGUGGAGGUGAGCGGAAUAUGUCAUGUAGCGGUGAAAUGCUUAGAUAUGACAUAGAACACCAAUUGCGAAGGCAGCUUGCUACACAAUCAUUGACGCUGAGGCACGAAAGCGUGGGGAUCAAACA
rnacentral:rRNA from 1 species